rnacentral:rRNA from 1 species
CACGUAGGCACCAAGCGUUGUCCGGAUUUAUUGGGCGUAAAGAGCUCGUAGGCGGUUGAGUAAGUCGGGUGUGAAAACUCUGGGCUUAACCCAGAGCCGCCACCCGAUACUGCUCUGACUUGAGUUCGGUAGGGGAGCAGGGAAUUCCUAGUGUAGCGGUGAAAUGCGCAGAUAUUAGGAGGAACACCGGUGGCGAAGGCGGGUCUCUGGGCAGUAACUGACGCUGAGGCACGAAGGUCAGGGGAGCAAACGGG